CCCGCCAUAUAUAAACACAAUAGAUUGCCUCACGUACUGUGACUUCCGGGCAAAAUGCUAUUAUCAACGGGCAUUGUGGUACGGGAACACGUAUUUGUUGGAAUACUUACACAUUCUGUGUGGAUCUUUCCAACAUGUGACGUCACGCCAUGGCUUCAGGAGGGAUACAAGUUUGGCCUCGAAAAUGGAGUUCUUCCAAAGUAUGCGAGGAAUAUACAUAGUUGGAUACAGUCUUCGACAGAGGCCUUCGGCUGGUGUUGUGCGAAAAGCAUCUAAAACGGGACGAAGCCUUUGAUGAUGAACUGCGUCAAGCAUCUACAAAUAUGACUUGCGGGUGACCCAUAUAUAAUGAAACUGUAACAAAACAAAAGAAGAUUGCCUGCAGUGGGCACAGGCCCGAUCAAUUAGCUGAUCGGCCGGUUAAGUUGAACCCGUUUUAAAAUCGUCUAAUUAUGGCAUAAAGAACGUUCCAGCAUUGAUGGGAACUUUUGCCUCUUGAAAUAUAAAUGUUGAGAUCAACUGGUAAUUUCAUGACAAUUAAUUACUCUAUGCUUAUCAUUUUUACGAGUGUGGAUGAAAUAUUGUACUAGUGCAUCGGGUCACGCACGCUAAAUAUAGCUUCAUUUAACGAAUCAGGUUUAGUGAAAUUGGACGCUAAUUAUUCUUGUGUAUUAUUCAACAUUUGUACAAACCGGUGUGAUGUUCACGUUGACGAUAUGAAGUCAAUUUCUUCUAUGUAUCGCCUGAUUUGGUCAUGGUGCACGUGGCUGUCUUCCGUUCGUGUGCCGCCGUCAACUUUCACGGCCAUGGUUGCACUACUUGGCGUCGGCUACAUAUCUGAUGUCAGUCUUAGAGGGUACUAUGUUCCGAUUUAUAUUAUUUAUAGCUUGUUUAUAAAUUGCUAAUAACUUCUAAAAGUGUUUUAGGUAAUGGUGCAUCAUUUAUUAGCCAAUCCUUUAUCGGGAUUACUUUUCUUCGCGCACGGUCACAAUGUAAUUAGCAUUGCUAGUGGCGCUAGCCAAUCAGAACGCCGCUAGGCUUAGCACAAUAAAGAACACUCGCCUUACUUUAAGAGUUUGGCUCUUAGUACUUUGAGUGGUGUCUCAUAGGUAUAUUCUCUUAGCAUAGUAGAGAACACUCACCUUACUUUAAGAGUUUGGCCCUUAGUACUUUGAGUGCUGGUCCAUUGUAGUUGAUACUCACCUUACUUUAAGGGCUGAUCUCUGGGUAAAUAUUAUCUCCGUUGCCUUUUAAUCUAAGCACAGUCUAGGAAACUUACCAUUAUAUUAGGUUGUAAUAAUCUGCAUCAAUGUGAAGUCGAUUCCUUAAUUCUAGUCGACUUUUCUUCAGCAUUCAAAGCUUGAUCUUUAAUGUAUCAGUCAACUCCUAGUAGCUGAAGUUGGUUUCAUGAGAAUAAGAUAGUGUUGAUUAGUGUAAUAGUGUUCGAGAAUUGUGGAGAGUUAUCUCCCUUCUAUCAAUUAUAAACAGAUAUAGGGACUGUUGUGGUAACCUUCAACUUUAUUAAUCACUCGUCAUACAUAUAUUAUGGUGAAUUCAUGUUGUGUAAAUACUGUGUACAUUCCUUAUUGCCAUUUAUGUAAUAAUUGUCUCAUUGUUGAAAAUGUUGUGACUUUUAAAUAGAAAAAUAUAUUUAUAGAACGGGAUUCCUGUCUUGAGAUUUCUAUA